rnacentral:ncRNA from 1 species
GGACACAGUGUGGAUUGACAGAUUGAGAGCUCUUUCAUUAUUCUAUGGUUGGUGAUGCAAGGCCGUUCUUAGUUGGUGGAGGGAUUUGACUGGUUCAUUCCUAUAAUAAACGAGACUCUAGUCUACUAAGUAGUUACUGACAUGACUUCUCAAUUUUGACCAGAUAACUUUUUAGAAGGAUAAGCAAUGUUUAACUGUAUGAAGUUGAAUGUAAGACUGGAAGAGUCGGUGUGCUGUAAU